rnacentral:rRNA from 1 species
CCUACGGGAGGCAGCAGUAAGGAAUCUUGCGCAAUGGGCGAAAGCCUGACGCAGCGACGCCGCGUGGGUGAUGGAGGCCUUCGGGUCGUAAAGCCCUGUGGAGGAGGGAAGAACAGCCCGCAAGGGUCUGACGGUACCUCCUAAGCAAGCACCGGCCAACUACGUGCCAGCAGCCGCGGUAAAACGUAGGGUGCAAACGUUGUUCGGAAUUACUGGGUGUAAAGCGCGUGUAGGCGGCUAAGUGUGUCGAUUGUAAAAGCCCCCGGCGAAACCGGGGAAAGUCGAUCGAAACUGCUUGGCUAGAGUACAGGAGAGGGGGAUGAAAUUCCGGGUGUAGAGGUGAAAUUCGUAGAUAUCUGGAGGAACACCGAUAGCGAAGGCAGCCCCCGGGACUGUUUCUGACGCUGAGACGCGAAAGCGUGGGGAUCAAACGGGAUUAGAUCCCCUGGUAGU